rnacentral:lncRNA from 1 species
GGAAGGUUACUAGAGGUGAAUCCAUCAGCAGCAACACAGUUAUUGGAGAGCCGGGGCCUGCUCAUAAUGCCAACUGACUUGGCUGAAGGACUUCAUCAGGUUGAUCACCCACCAGAAAACAAACUAAAAGGUAUCUGGUAAUUCUGACAGAAGCAAUAGAAUUUUCCAAUUAAACCCAGUUUUGGCCUGAGAGAGAGAGAGAUUUAUCCUGAAGAAAUCGUUUUACUUUAUUUACAUACUUACCUUGAAUCAGAGAUUAGAGCUUACAAUGUUGAUCACCUGCAGCUAACACACAACUGUCUUAAAUGUUGUAAAGCAU